rnacentral:rRNA from 1 species
AGCAGUCGCCGCGGGAAUACGAAGGGUGCAAGCGUUAAUCGGAAUUACUGGGCGUAAAGCGUGCGUAGGCGGUGAGUUAAGUCUGCUGUGAAAUCCCCGGGCUCAACCUGGGAAUGGCAGUGGAUACUGGCUCGCUAGAGUGUGUCAGAGGAUGGUGGAAUUCCCGGUGUAGCGGUGAAAUGCGUAGAGAUCGGGAGGAACAUCAGUGGCGAAGGCGGCCAUCUAGGACAACACUGACGCUGAGGCACGAAAGCGUGGGGAGCAAACAGGAUUAGAGACCCCUGUAGUCCCUGUCUCUUAUAC